AUGCACACACACACACACACAAAUGCACGGCUCCUUCAAGUUGGAUUGGAGGAGCGCCAUCGUUUUGAAUCAAACGCGGCUAUUGCACUUGUCUGUCCAUCCGUCGGCCCCCUCCCCCUCCACGGCGUUUCGCUCUUCUGUGCGCUUGCCGACUUCACACGGUCUGCGUGCUUUAUCGGCUCUCCUCACUUCGCCUGGGCGCUUCGCCGCGACAUUGGCCGCCACCGUCACCAGCCUCAUCACUGCUCACGUUAGCAACCCGCUCCAUCAGCGCUGGCCGUGGUCACGUCUACGCAUCUCUGCCCACAAACACUCUUUGGAUGCACAUCGUGGGCUGCGUGUCCAGUGAUGGAGCGCACUGAGUUUCUUGACAGCACCUACAGGGGCGGCGGUGGCGGCCGAGGUGGCGAAGCCCUCCUGAUGAACGAGUCGUCCUCGCUGCAGCGCACGGCUAGGGCCCGAGCCCAUGCAGCGCAGUACCUCAUGGACAUCGACAACGCAUGUAUGCCGCUGUUGCCCGAUGACCCGGAGAAGCGCAUCUCGCUGCAUCGGCAGCUGCGUGGACGUUACAACCCCACACAGAUCCCCCUUUCCUCUCUCUCGUGCGCCGCCUACCUCAGCGCCAGCGAUGUCGCACAGUUGGCGGCGCUGUUCCGCCAGUACAACUUGUUUUCCAGCGAGGUGGUCAAUGCCCUCGACAGGGACGACAGCGGCGGCGGCAGCGGCAAAAGCAGUGCAGAGGGGAAGGGCAAGGAAGCGGUGGCGGCGGCAGCGACGGCGACAGCGGCGAAGGCGCCCAAGAGCCGACCCCGAUCUGUCGGGCGCGACGGCGAAGCGACUCCGCAGUCGCCCUCCACGGUCUGCCCUACAGUAGCAGCUGCUCCCCGGCCUCCGGUGGUACUGGAUGCGAUGCAUGGUAAGGCUGGCAUGGGAGUGCUGCGGUGUAUUGCGCGGCGAUGGCCGCCGGCAUCACCGUCCGUACGCCCCUUGGGUUCCACCUCGCCCUGGGCUGCUGAUGUCGUAGCCGCUGCCGCUGGGGCGGCUGUAACGUCUUCAUUCUCCGCGCCGCCCAGUGGGAGAAGGGCGGAGGGGGAGCCGGUAGCGCGUACACUGACAGAAACGGCGGCGGAGGACCGGCGCGAGCUAGCGGAGCCCUUUACCAGCGAAAGCAAUGACGCUGCCUUGACCACGGGAUGGCUUGUGGAGCUGUUACUGGAGAUGGUGAUUGAGAAUUCUGCCCACUCGGCCAACGCCAGUGUCGGGGGCGGUGGGGCUGCGCCUGCAGCAGCACGGGCCGCAUCGGGACAGCCGCCGACGCCCCCAGCUGCGUCACUGCCUCAGCCGCGGCCCGGCACAGGCAGUCAUCAUCCCUACAACAACGUCGACGCCACUCACGUGGCGCCGACGUGCUUCAACUCUGCGACGAUGACUUGCCAGACUCGUCGCCGCGACGCGCGUGUGGACCAGCUGCGCCACUUCAAGGCAGAGUUGACCGCUUGGGCAGAGCGCCUCGCCCAAAAAUGCGAUGAGCGCGAGCACCGGGCGGCGUGGCAUGAGUGCGUUGCGCAGGAAGAGGUCCUGCAACGCUACCAAGCAUGUGUUCUGCAGAACCAGGCGCCAAGGCUAAUGGGCGCGUCGUUGACUGGUGCACCUGGCGGCACUUCUGGAGUGCUCUCCUCGCGCCCCAAGAUGCUGAGCUUCGUGAACUUCGAGCCUGCAGGAGCGCUUGUGAGCAGCAAGGCCGGCAGCAAUGUGUCCCCGCGCCGCAACGGUGGCACUGGCGGACGUAGCAACGUUAGCUGGGGGCCGCCGCACGUGGUCAAGGCCGUUUCGCCUGAUGCGGCGACGACUCCUACAACACGCGGCACUCUAUGCCCAUCACCGCUGGGUUCAGCUGCAAGGCUGAUCGAACCGUCUGGAGACCCUCAGUCGAACACGCUCCCCGCUGCAGUGCAGCAGCAGCAGCCAGAGAUCAGUACUCACUCGGACACCAGCGACGCCGACGAGGUACUUUCGAUGCACAACAACGACAACGGUGGCGGCCUCGCACAUCCUUCUCUUCCAGUGGAGAUGCUCCACUCCACCGUCUCCUCUUUGGCCGGCUCAAUGGUGGUCUUGCCAUCCAACGCCGCCGGACUGGGAGCCGGUGUGGUGCCGCCGUCCAUGAGUGUGUCCGUCACCGGGGUGAGUGGCGCCGCUGCGGAUCGAAGCCUGCUGGCAGCAAAGGCGCGGCUCACAGCCCCUGCCCUGAAGGACCUGCUGCAGCAGCCAACACAGCUGUACGCGUAUCUAUGGACAUCGAGCGCGGCAGCGAGGCUGGCGGAGGAGGAGGAAAGGCAUCAGCAUCACCAGCGCGUGCGGAUGGUGCGCGGUGCACAACCGCCACCGAGCCGCGGCGGAGAUAAGUCUCCCAGCGGCAGCAGCGUGAGCCCCACAGAGAGUGCCUUCGGCGCUCGACGCAGCCGCGCCGCUGCAGUGCAGCAUCUUGUGUGCUGGAGCGACGUCGCAAGCAACCUGCUAAUGGGACUGGAGACGACGUGGCUGUCGCAGCGGCAUGAGGCGGCCUAUGCGCGGGUGCCGACGGCGCUGCUGGAGGAUCUGUCGGAGAUGACCGCGCCCAAGAGAGGCGGGUCGGGCCACCACAUCGGCGCCGGCAGCAAUGCGCACACCGUGCCGCGCUCGUUCAUUAGCACCCAUGAGGAUGGAAGUGACGACGACAGCGACUCACUCGAUGGCGUGGCGCUCGGCGGCGGCACUAGCAGUGGCUCCGGCGUUGCAGGGAGCGGCCAAGCGUGUCGGCGCCGGCUGCACAAGAGCGGUCUCGGCAAUGACGCUGUUGCGCUGCAGCAGCGGGCGGUGCUGUUCAAUAGCCUCGGCGCGGCUGCCGAGACCACCCUUGGUGCCCUUCAUAGUGAGGCGGCAGAUCACAUUCUCGCCUCCCCGACGUGGCGAUACACUGUCACCAGCAGCAAAGACGGCCUCCUCAAGGUGUGGGACACCACCAGCGGCCAGUUCGUGUCCACGAUCCUGAACAUCGGGCAGUCCUGGGUGCUCACCAUGACUUUCCUGCAUGGCGGUGAGUUCCUCAUGGUGGCGACGAGCGCGGCGGAGAUCACCGUCGUGAACUUUCCGGCUGGUGGAGUGCUGCUCAAGCUGCGUGGCUGCACCUCACUGGCGACGGCGGUGCCGCAGGUCAAGCAGCCGUCUACAUUCUUCACAAAGCGCUACGGACUGAAGCCUGGCGAGUGUGGCCGGCACAAGCCGACGUGCAGCGACGGCGGUGGCUGGCUCGGAGCAGCGGCGGCCGCCCGGCUCAUGGAAUAUGCGGAGGGGGAGAGCGAGCCGAUUGUGGCACGGCCCAUCGUGGGCUACAUCACGCCCACGGCCGCCUUCUUUGACGCCGAGAUGGGCUUCUUCUUCUUUGGCACCAUGAGUGGCAUGAUUGGCUGCGUGGAUCUGACGGCAGUUUUGUCACGCACAGCCCUGCACGCCGCCGCUGCCGGCGCUGGGUGGGCGUAUCCGUUGCAGGUUUACGGCGCAGUCCUCGCCCAUCCGGAGGUGCUGCCGCCGGAAAUGGGCGCCGCGUCGACGCCUGCGUCAGAGAUGCCGUUGCCGUCUCUCGAUUCCACCGUAAACUACUCCCGUCUGCCGGCCGUUGGCCACCGCAAAACGCGAACAACGUCGCCGUUCUCGUUGGCCGCCGCGGGGAUGACCGCGGUCACCACCAGUGGUGGUUUGCCAGUGAACUGUCUCUUCUUCUGUGGCGUGGGCCACUGCAUCAUCUCCUCCGAUCCCGACGGCGGCAUCGUGCGCACUUCCUUCACGGCCGCCGCUGACACCCUCGACUACGCCCUUGGCACUCCAACGGUGGUAAUGGCAACUGCCAAGCCGAUUCGCUUCAUGGUGAGCUGCGCCAGUGGCCGCCGCUUCGUCACGGUACACAGUGACCGCCGCGCCUUCUUGUGGGCUGUCGGCCGCACCUUGACGGAGUGCGUUCACCAGUACCCGCAGGAGGCGUACGACAUCAUUGAUGUCUGCUUCAUGCCACCGCAUCAGCAGGUGGCCAUGCUCAUGUCAGACCACAGCAUCCGCAUCUACGACGAAAGGGGGUCGCGUCCCUUGACCUCCAUCCUACCUCCGCGCGGGUUGAGCAGCCGAGUCGAGGACAUGGCCUCCAUGACCCUCAAGUGCUCUGCCAACGACGUUGAUGGCUGCUUGACAUACUUGCCGACGACGCAGCGGCUGGUGUGUGGGCUGCGCGGUCCCGUUCUGUAUGAGCCUAUCGCGCGCGCGCCAGCGCGGGGCGGCGCCCCGAUCAGCACCGUCGAGGGUCUCGAGAUGCCGGCGGCGACUGAUACGCCAGAGAGGAAGAACUCCAACCCAACUGAUGCGGUACCCGCGUUGUCGACAGAGGGAAUGCAGGCUGAGGAGGCACCUUUGCCCCCGUCGUCGUCGUCGCUGGGGUCGUCGCUGUCGCUGCCUCGCUUGCCGCAGUCGGCCUUGCCCUUCUCGAAGCCAACCUCCACCGCUCUCGCGGCGACGCAGGUGACGACUCUCUCGCCGCUGCGCUCGCGCGUCGCGUCCGUCUCCGCGUCGAUGGGCUCUUCCACCUACGGUGGGAUGCGCGGCUUGGGGGGCGACACUGCCGGCACCGAGACGGAAAAAGCGAAGGCUGCUGCUGCGGCGGCGCAGGAGGAGGUGAGGCGCCAACGCCAGCUGAACGCCGCUCUGCAUAAGUGUCAUCAGCGGCUGCGGCCCCAUCAGACUCACUCCUCGGCCGUUAUUGGGCUCCUGCUCGACCCCGGGCGCGGCGAGCUGCACAGCUUCAGCACCGACACGUGGUGCGUGUGGUACUACGACACAGGUAAGCGCCUCCGUGCGCCUCUGCAUGUGCCGCGCGCGGCGGAGAAGGAGCUGGCGGUGCGCAGUCGGCGUGCUCUCCUGACGUGCUGCAGCUGGAGCACUGAAGGGCGCACGCGUGUGCUGGUGGGCACACGCGACAGCCGAGUGCUGACGCUGGACGCACGCCUCGUCUCCGUCAUGAGCACGACGGACCCAUUCACGCAGAGUGUCAGAGGCCCGACGUCGGGCGCUAGCAGCCCCAUGCUCCUCGCAGACAAAGACGUUGGCGCAAUCUCCAGCACUGGGAGCCGCACGCUGCUGUGCAGCGGCCACGUGUGCGAGGUCCGCCGUUACGAGGUCACGGGCGCACCGAAGCCCAGCGGAGAGGAGAAUUUCAUCUCUAUGCGAGUGGAGCUGCCCUCUGCGUCGACAGCCGUCGCGCCGUCGCCAACGCACGGUGGUGGCACCGUCGCCACUGCAGCCCCCGCAGCGGCGGCAGUCAAGGACAUGAAGUGCACCACAAGCGCCACCCGUGGUGGCUGCAGCGAUACCACGAUCACUGCCUGCUGCGUGGUGCGGGAGUCUCACCUGUGCCUUGGCACGGGUGACACACAGCUGUUCUUCUACCGCAUGGUCGACCGCAGCAGCCCCGUACACGUGGAGGUGCUGUGCGACGCGCACGGGGUGCCGGACGUCGGCCGCGUUGUGAGUCUGAACUACCUCAACGACCUGGCGCACGACAUACUGCUCGUCGUCGUCGACACCGGGAUCCUCUUCCUGUACUCCUACACGCUGCAGCGCACGCUAGGGCGACACACCUUUCCAACUUUAGGGUCGCAGGUGUUUCUUACCGCAUCGCCAACCUUCACAUCACGGGGGCACACGCGGGGCCAUCAGCAGCAGGAGCAUUACAUCACCAGCGUUGCUGUUGCCCGUGAGGUGGUAGGGGCGCCGCAGUCGUCGCUGCUGAUGAUGGCCUGUGGUGACUCGGUGGGGUACGUGCAUGUCGUGCCUCUCGCCCACCUGCUCGCCGAGGUUCUGAGCACUACCUCGCGCGAUAAGGGUGCGAGUAGCGCAGCGCGCGUACCCAAGAGUCAUGAACUGCGCGUGUCGGCAUCCUUUCGUGCCUCGCGCGGCGGUGUGUCAUCGCUGGAGGUACUAGCCACGAACUCCUCGAAUCCGACGGUUGCGUCGCCCAGUCACGCGAGCGUGGAGCUACCCUCCACGGAGCGCACCACAGCCGCCACCUCGACGGCAACGCCAUCUACUGUGCCGUUCUCCGAGCCGCAUCUGCUCGUGUUUGCUGCGGGCUUUGACGGUAACGUGCGGGUAUUCAGUCUUUCGCCCAACACGCUACAGCAGGAUCUGCUGCCAUUGCCCCACUUCGCGCCCACCACCUCCAACAGCACGUGGUCGGCGAUGACGACGUCGCUGCAGCUGCCCCAGUCCUUCGCCACGAGCAUUAGCUACACGAGAGCUUCGCACAACAGGACAGUGGUGCCCAGCCUGCCACGACGCAGCUCGUCUUUUCGAACCGUUGGCGGCGGCAGGGCCUCGCUGCCGAACCACGCCGUCGGAGCAAUGUGCUACGAGGUGAACACGGUCGGACUCUGUGGCGUGGACACGUGGGACCUAUGCGACCCGCGCACCUUCAGCGAUAUCGAGCAGGCCACGGUAAUUACUCAAGCCCACAGCGACGGCCACAUUGGCUUCGCGCUUCCAUCCAUCCUCGACGACGUAGACGAUAGCGAGAGGAACGUGGAAGGGUGCGGAGUGGCUGAGAACGCGGCCAGUGCUCCUGGAGAACGCAUCGCUGCCGUCGGCCUGGCCUCCACAACGGUGACGAAGGAAAGCGGGGCCGUGUUGCUCUAUGACAUCCUGCGCAGAUCCAAGAAGCAGAAGCCGGGUAGCCCCACUGCCGCCGUCGGCACUUAUGCGCAGCAGCCAUUCCAUCAAUCGCGGUUAGCUGCAACAACCACCGGCGUCGCUGCGGACGGGGCAACUCCUCGUCAGUGCGGCAGCGCACCCAGGUCCCGUUCGCCGCCGCCGCCGUCCUCUGCGCGCAUGGCUACACCUGCUGCAACGACAGCCGUAGCCGACACACGGGCUGCCGCAGCUUGGUCAUGGAAGGGAGAUGCCGGCACCAACGACGGACCCGUCCGCUAUCCAGGAUGCUGUACGAGCGCUGCACCGCCUCUGCCGCCUCUGCCGCCACCACCACCGGCGCACUUCACGCCGCACACAAUCGGCGAGUUGGUGCGCGAUGCGCUGCCGUAUUCAUGGAGUCGCUCCUCCAGCAUGAGGGACAUUGUCGCGGCGUCAUCCUCUCCUCUUGAUCCGCCCAUGCAGGACGCCGCAGGCUGCGUGCGCGACAGCCACAUCCAUGGUGUUCUCUCGCCGAUCCCGCACCCGCAGGCGAUGCGGAACCCGCUUGUACGCGUGUACCCGCUGGCCCUUCUACGGCAGAUGGGUCUGCUGCACCCCCUGGAUACCACUCCAGAUGUCGACCCAGAGACCGGGCUGCUGGUGCUCAUCUCCGCGCACGACGCCUUCAGGCCCUGGAAGACGCGGCUGCUAGGGACGGAGAGCGCAAGCACCGCCACGGCGGCGCCGAACCUGAUGGCCACUUCGCCCAUGACCAGCCUCAUGUCGGUAAACCCCGCACUAGCGACGGCUGAGGUGAGUCGACCGCCGUCAGCUGCGGAGACGAACGACACUGACACGGUCAUAAACGUGCAGAAAUGCGCGUACACGCUGUCGUCCUCGUACUCUUUUUCGGAAACGAGCAGGUUCCUGUGCUCUCGUCACGCUGCGGCGACCGCGUGGCCGACGCCGCUUUCUCUGACCCCGGAUCACACGAGGAGUGCAGGGGCGGAGGCGGGGUGGCGACACAGCAGCACUGGCGCCGACGAUACAGAGCCUGAAACGUCGGUGUUCCUGACCGAGGGAGGGGUAGACUGGACUCGUCGGAGGUUGCGCACCGCGACCCCCGCCAGCUCUACGUGCUCUCCCCUGCGCCCCCUGGGCACGGCGACGGUGGCGGGAGAGCCGAGCUCUGCUUCUCGCCGUACGAUCACGGAGGAGAAGACUGCUUUGGCAGACGCGGAUGGGUCGCAGCGGGUCACCAUCCGCGCCCCUUCCACCACAGAGUGGAAGAUCGUUUCCGACGCGAUCCGCGAUAGCGCGGAGGCGUCGUCGCGACGGUCCAUCUCGUCCGCGAACCCGAGCAGUGCUCUCGCGUGGUCGAACCGCUCGCACCCUCCGUUAUUCCCGCCUGCACCACCCACCUCGGCACAGUCAUUGGCAAAGCAGAAACUCACAUACCUGCGUGGCGCUUUGGGAAGCGUCGAUGCAGAGGUGCUCCGCAUGAGGGAGGAUCAGAUGAUGCUGGCGCACAUGGCUGCCCGUCUGGAUUGCUCGCGGCAGGUGCCGCUGCCGGCCCAUGGAAACGCUACAGCCGCCAUGGAUGGCACAUGGACGCACUCGCCUCCAAUGAGCACCCCUGCCUUGGGCGAGUACACCUCUCGACUCAUCCGCCUGUGGCGGCAGCGCGCUGGCGACGCGGUGGUGGAGGCUGUCACUGCCGCCCUCAAAGCCCUCGGAGCUGAGGAGGCCGCAGAGACGCACGGUUCCGCCGCCGCCACUGAGGACACGGGAACAACCACCAGCGCCGGCGCCUCCGCAACCUCUGCCAUGCCACAAACAGCCGCUGCGCGCGCAACAGAGCCGCAGCUGGGCAGUCGCAGCUUUCCAACCCGCGGGUUGAAGGCCGGCGGUAAGGGGGCGCCGGGAAAGGCGAUGUUGUCGCCACGUCAGCGCGAUCCUACAGUGAUGGCGUCGUCCUCGCGGUCAGAGCGGCGAUCAAGCCACGGAGGCCAGUCUAGCCCCCAAACCGCGUACGCCGCAAUGCUGCAGGCAAGUGCAUCCACAACGUUCGGGCUCGAGCUCUUAGCCCUGUCGCUGCCAAAUGAACCACAGGCAGCGCCGACUCGCGCGCGGCGCCGCACUGGCCGAGGCGCCGACGCAUCGCUGUCGGCCGGAGCAGCCGCGGCACCUUCAAGACGGGGAGCAAGGGCGGCCGUGUCGGCAGCAGCAACAGCCGCCUCCUCCAAGGCAGCUCCUCAUCUCGAGACAAGGCUUCCCAUGACUGCCGUGCAGCAGGACGUGCAGCCCAUCCGGGUGUGCUUGCCGUCAACGCUCCGCGCCGAUGAGGGAGAGCGGAUGUGGCUGCGGCGCUUCGAGGCUGCUUUCAACAACGUGGACAAGUGAAACAAGUGCUGACCGCCGCCAUUUGGCAUCGCAGGCGGCGCCCUCCAGUGCCGCAUCUCUGGCGCACCGCCAACAGCUUCUUAUCGCUCCUGUUCAGCUUCAAACACGUUUUUUUUUGUUUUUCUAACCUGGUCGGUAUUGUAGCCACCUUGAAGUACCCCGCGCUGCUUCUCUCACUCACUCUUGCCUCUCUUUCUCAUUUUGUGCUCUCACGCUCUCUGGCGCGCUGCGGAAGCCUUUCGGUGCCUGUCCGUGCGUGUGUCGCGCGUUCCGCUUCCGCAUCAGAGAUGCGCCGAGAGAGAGAGGUGCUCGAUACUUCACUGCAUCUCUUCUCUUGCGCGCGUAUCUGCUCUCUCCCUUUUCACCUGUUCCGUUGUGCUGCACUUACAUGUCUGAUCGGGCGCGCCGGCAUGCGCUUUGGCUUUUGACGGCCUCCCACCUCUAUCCUUCACUCUUGCACCUGGAACAGCUCCGCGCCCCCCCUCCCCUCUCCUCCACUUCCCCCCCCCCCCCCCCACACCUUCCCUCUGCACGCACAUGCGCAAGAAUGCGACGUGAACACGUGCUUUGGCACCUCGUCCCCAACUCGCGAACACGUUCGUGCAGUUGCGCGCUCGGAUGUGAGCCCGAUGUCUGCGCGUGUACGUGUCUGAUGUACAUAGUAGGCCAUGCGCCCUUGUGUGUGUGUGUGUGUCUGUACGCUCCCAUCUAUGUAAGUUGUCCGGCCAGCCG
rnacentral:misc_RNA from 1 species